rnacentral:rRNA from 1 species
AGGGAAUCUUCCACAAUGGACGCAAGUCUGAUGGAGCAACGGCCGCGUGAGUGAAGAAGGUUUUCGGACCGUAAAGCUCUGUUGUUGGUGAAGAAGGAUAGAGGUAGUAACUGGCCUUUAUUUGACGGUAAUCAACCAGAAAGUCACGGCUAACUACGUGCCAGCAGCCGCGGUAAUACGUAGGUGGCAAGCGUUGUCCGGAUUUAUUGGGCGUAAAGCGAGCGCAGGCGGAAGAAUAAGUCUGAUGUGAAAGCCCUCGGCUUAACCGAGGAAUUGCAUCGGAAACUGUUUUCUUGAGUGCAGAAGAGGAGAGUAGAACUCCAUGUGUAGCGGUGGAAUGCGUAGAUAUAUGGAAGAAUACCAGUGGCGAAGGCGGCUCUCUGGUCUGCAACUGACGCUGAGGCUCGAAAGCAUGGGUAGCGAACAGGAUUAGAUACCCUGGUAGUCCAUGCCGUAAACGAUGAGUGCUAAGUGUUGGGAGGCUUCCGCCUCUCAGUGCUGCAGCUAACGCAUUAAGCACUCCGCCUGGGGGAGUACGACC